rnacentral:rRNA from 2 species
AGAGUUUGAUCCUGGCUCAGGACGAACGCUGGCGGCGUGCCUAAUACAUGCAAGUCGAACGCUUCUUUUCCCACCGGAGCUUGCUCCACCGGGAAAAGAGGAGUGGCGAACGGGUGAGUAACACGUGGGUAACCUGCCCAUCAGAAGGGGAUAACACUUGGAAACAGGUGCUAAUACCGUAUAACAAUCGAAACCGCAUGGUUUCGUUUUGAAAGGCGCUUUACGGUGCCGCUGAUGGAUGGACCCGCGGUGCAUUAGCUAGUUGGUGAGGUAACGGCUCACCAAGGCCACGAUGCAUAGCCGACCUGAGAGGGUGAUCGGCCACAUUGGGACUGAGACACGGCCCAAACUCCUACGGGAGGCAGCAGUAGGGAAUCUUCGGCAAUGGACGAAAGUCUGACCGAGCAACGCCGCGUGAGUGAAGAAGGUUUUCGGAUCGUAAAACUCUGUUGUUAGAGAAGAACAAGGGUGAGAGUAACUGUUCACCCCUUGACGGUAUCUAACCAGAAAGCCACGGCUAACUACGUGCCAGCAGCCGCGGUAAUACGUAGGUGGCAAGCGUUGUCCGGAUUUAUUGGGCGUAAAGCGAGCGCAGGCGGUUUCUUAAGUCUGAUGUGAAAGCCCCCGGCUCAACCGGGGAGGGUCAUUGGAAACUGGGAGACUUGAGUGCAGAAGAGGAGAGUGGAAUUCCAUGUGUAGCGGUGAAAUGCGUAGAUAUAUGGAGGAACACCAGUGGCGAAGGCGGCUCUCUGGUCUGUAACUGACGCUGAGGCUCGAAAGCGUGGGGAGCAAACAGGAUUAGAUACCCUGGUAGUCCACGCCGUAAACGAUGAGUGCUAAGUGUUGGAGGGUUUCCGCCCUUCAGUGCUGCAGCUAACGCAUUAAGCACUCCGCCUGGGGAGUACGACCGCAAGGUUGAAACUCAAAGGAAUUGACGGGGGCCCGCACAAGCGGUGGAGCAUGUGGUUUAAUUCGAAGCAACGCGAAGAACCUUACCAGGUCUUGACAUCCUUUGACCACUCUAGAGAUAGAGCUUCCCCUUCGGGGGCAAAGUGACAGGUGGUGCAUGGUUGUCGUCAGCUCGUGUCGUGAGAUGUUGGGUUAAGUCCCGCAACGAGCGCAACCCUUAUUGUUAGUUGCCAUCAUUUAGUUGGGCACUCUAGCAAGACUGCCGGUGACAAACCGGAGGAAGGUGGGGAUGACGUCAAAUCAUCAUGCCCCUUAUGACCUGGGCUACACACGUGCUACAAUGGGAAGUACAACGAGUCGCGAAGUCGCGAGGCUAAGCUAAUCUCUUAAAGCUUCUCUCAGUUCGGAUUGUAGGCUGCAACUCGCCUACAUGAAGCCGGAAUCGCUAGUAAUCGCGGAUCAGCACGCCGCGGUGAAUACGUUCCCGGGCCUUGUACACACCGCCCGUCACACCACGAGAGUUUGUAACACCCGAAGUCGGUGAGGUAACCUUUUGGAGCCAGCCGCCUAAGGUGGGAUAGAUGAUUGGGGUGAAGUCGUAACAAGGUAGCCGUAUCGGAAGGUGCGGCUG